UAGCCUUGACAUACUACAGAAUUUGACAGAGAUGUUGAAGUGCCUUCGGGAGCUGUAAUACAGGUGCUGCACGGCUGUCGUCAGCUCGUGUCGUGAGAUGUUGGGUUAAGUCCCGCAACGAGCGCAACCCUCGUCCUUAGUUACUAACGGUUCGGCCGAGGACUCUAAGGAGACUGCCUUCGUAAGGAGGAGGAAGGUGAGGACGACGUCAAGUCAUCAUGGCCCUUACGGCUAGGGCAACACACGUGCUACAAUGGUUAGGACAAUGAGAAGCGAUACCGCGAGGUGGAGCAAAUCUAUAAACCUAAUCUCAGUUCGGAUAGCAGUCUGCAACUCGACUGCUUGAAGCUGGAAUCACUAGUAAUCGUAAAUCAGCUAUGUUACGGUGAAUACGUUCCCGGGUC
rnacentral:rRNA from 1 species